CUUGCUAAGGCCGAUGGCGACCGGCGCACGGGUGAGUAACACGUAUCCAACCUGCCCUUUACUCGGGGAUAGCCUUUCGAAAGAAAGAUUAAUACCCGAUAGCAUAAUGAUUCCGCAUGGUUUCAUUAUUAAAGGAUUCCGGUAAAGGAUGGGGAUGCGUUCCAUUAGGUUGUUGGUGGGGUAACGGCCCACCAAGCCUUCGAUGGAUAGGGGUUCUGAGAGGAAAGUCCCCCACAUUGGAACUGAGACACGGUCCAA
rnacentral:rRNA from 1 species